UACGUAGGGUGCGAGCGUUAAUCGGAAUUACUGGGCGUAAAGCGUGCGCAGGCGGGCUUUUAAGCCAGACGUGAAAUCCCCGGGCUUAACCUGGGAAUGGCGUUUGGGACUGGAAGUCUGGAGUGCGGCAGAGGAGACUGGAAUUCCUGGUGUAGCAGUGAAAUGCGUAGAUAUCAGGAGGAACACCAAUAGCGAAGGCAGCUCGCUGGGACGUUACUGACACUGAGGCGCGAAAGCGUGGGGAGCGAACAGG
rnacentral:rRNA from 1 species